AUGGAUGUGAGGCGAACAAGGGUCCUCAAAAAGAUUUUUCUCCAAUUUCAAGAUAAUUUGCCUAACCGUCGAGAGCCAGGACGUGCAUCCAGUAGCAACUUUAACAUUGCCUACAGAUCAAACAAACCACCAAGAACAAGAGCAAAAGAGCCAGUUUCAUCUACCACCACCAAGAACAAGAGCAAAAGAACCAGCUUCAUCUAUCUACCACUACAUCGUAGAGACAAACCCAGCUGGAUGAUCAACAUCUCAGGUGUAAGAAGAGAACAAGAGCUUCACAAUUCUGCAUCCAGUAUCCACUAUCACUACGUGUUGUAG
rnacentral:rRNA from 1 species